rfam:Frankia sp. EI5c TG55_1081, whole genome shotgun sequence.
GGGGGUGACCGGCUUCGACUCCGGACGUCGAGGCAGGGGAAGCGGGCCGAGGAUGAGCGGUUAUCUCGUUAACGAUCCGUUCGAAACAAUAGCUGCCACUAAGACGCAGCCUGCUACCUCCGCUUACGCCCUCGCGGCCUGAGCAGAGACUAAGUAGCCGUCAGCCUNGGAGUUCCUCCGGCCCAGGAUCUGGCGUCGCUAGGAGGAUCACCUUCCCAUCCGGUCGCGNGGUGGGUCGGGAAAUCUAACAGCGACUGAGCCUGCGCCGGCUUGCCUGCGGGACCGGCGGGGCUGAGAAAAAACAAGCAGGCUGCGCCCGGAGAAGCCCUGUGUCGGGGCCGGAGGACGCGGGUUCGAUUCCCGCCACCUCCACCA